rnacentral:lncRNA from 1 species
CUGUUGCCGGGGCUGAGCCUGUGAUGAGGCCCCGACGAGGUUUCUGGAACAAGUGGCUUCGGGUAAUGGUACGAGCACGACCCAGUUCCGGUCAGUGAGGGAGAAGCCUGCUGGGGUGCAGUCAGAGAGGCUUGGAUGAGGAGACAUCGCUUCCUCUCCCAUGUUCUGCGCUGCGGUGCCAGGACGUGACAUUUGGGCUUGUUGUAGUCAACUUAAUACCAGGAGACCACCAACCAGAGGUCGAAAAUCCAAGGUGUUGAGAAUAUCAGAGCAAAAGGAUGGAAAGAGCCUGGGCCCCGGGGCCGUCGCUGAACUGCUGCACCAAGUCUUGGACGGAAGGGAGAAGCCAGUGGAGGCAUGACCAGCCUGGAGCCAAGUGAGGCUGAUGGCGCAGCUGAGUGCACCUGCUUAGACCCUCCACUCACUGGCUUCUUGGUGACCUGACUCUGCACAUCCUUGUGGCUUGCGUCUUCUUGCUGGUUGUUCAUCUGCAGGAAGAGUUUCUUGAUCCCUUUGCCAAGAAGACAGAAUGGGCUCCCAGGAUGCAGUGGAAACUUUCCCUUCUCAUAGGAAGAAGAUGGGAAGGUUUCUCUCCCACAGUGUGACAGGCGAGGCGCAUCGUAUCUCAGGCCGACUCCUUGGGAAAGUGACUCAGUCGGGCACUUUGGGUCCACUCUGCCGCCGGGUUCUGUGUGCUGGUAGUUGGACGGCUUCACCAGUUACCUCGCUCUCCAGCUCAAGGGGGGUUUGGCCGGUGGGCACGCAGGCAGGGAUUGGGGGGGAGAGGAGACGGAGGCCUGUGUGUUUAUCACCCCUGCCCUCCCUUUGUGGGGCCCAUCACAUUGGCUCAUCCUGGACUAUCUUACACUUUCUGCAAAAUGUCCCUCCCCGAACACCCUCUUUGUGUCCAAAUUCCAGCCAGCCCCUUGCCCCACAGCUGAUGGGUAUUAACAGGGACUCCUGAUACCAACUCUGCACCAUCCCUGGAGGUGCCCUGCCCCCUGCCCACCCCACCGUAGACAGGCCCCUUGUUGACUUUCCUCACAGUGUGAGGUUGGAAGGUGCUGCCUGUUUCUUGCUGGAGCCCGGAUGGCUGGACUCACCCAGGGAACGCGCACAUCACCGGGGGAGGUGCCGUCACGCUGGUCUUCUGUGUGGCAGCAGAUGCAUCUAGGCUCCAACAUACCCCGUCACUUGCUGACUCAAUGUGGAGGUGAUUUAGCCCCUCUGAGCUCUGGUUUUCUCUCAUUUUAUUAUUAUUAUUUUUCCUCUUUACAGCCGCACCUGCAGCAUGUGGAGGUUCCCAGGCUAGGGGUCGAAUUGGAGCUGUAGCCACUGGCCUACGCCACAGCCGCAGCCACGCGGGAUCCCAGCCACGUCUGCGGCCUACACCACAGCUCAUGGCAACGCCAGGUCCUGAACCCACGGAGCGAGGCCAGGGAUUGAACCCACGUCCUCAGGGACACCAUGCGGCUUUUUAACCAGCUAAGCCAUGGUGGGAACUCCAGAUUUCUCUUAAAGUGGGGGUACUAUUACCUACUUCAUCAGCAUAUGUGUGAGUACUCUUAUAUAACUGUAUAUUUAACAUAUAUUUAUAUUAAAUUGUAAUAAACAUAUAUUAUAACUACAUAGCACAUAUAUAUUUAUAGAUGCAAUAUCACCAUCCGCAGCACUCUAUAACAUAACAACAAUAUAUCACAAUAGUAUGUACAGUAGCACAUAUCAUGUUUCAGGCUCCCUCAAUUUGUGCCGAGUCCCUUCCUCACUGGUCAGGCCCGGCCGUUACAAAGCGCUCAUUUUGUUUCCUUGUGUUGAUGAUCUUUGUGUUUCAAGUUAUGGGACCUCCCUUCCCCCGUGCGCCACAAAUUCCUACUUAACUAAAUGAUAGUUCGCUUCCCACGGGUGGUCCUGGCUGCUCUGACCUCGUCCCUCACGUCUGUGCAACCUGCAGACGACUCCUCUUCGGACGGCGAGUGCCGGACCAGGGGGUCCUUGGCGAAGUGAGGCUCCUUCGCUUGCGCCUUAACCCCGAGCGGUGGCGGCUUUCUGCGCAGGUGCUGUAGGCAGCACUGAGUAAUCCCACUGCUUUACAGGAUAGCUGUUUUUCUGUUUCUGCUUUCUUUAAACAAUAUCUCUAAAAUGUGAUGAGAGCCCUGGCUAAACCCAGAGAAUUGUUGCAAGGAUUAGCUAAUUGAUUAUUUUAAAUGCUUUGAAACUGACGGAGGGUUUAGUAACAAGGACAGGCUGAAUACUUUUUGCAGGCUUGACGGGAGUCCACAGUGUAUCAAACGAUGCUUCCAGUUUGCUUUGGUAUCUGUAGCAGGACUUGCUUGUUGUAUAACAUGUCACGUUAAAAUGUGUUAUGUAUGCUGUGGCAUUUAACACAUGACCUGGGGAAAUGCUUUACGAUAAAGAGAGGUGUUGCAAGAUACACAGUGCUUUCGUCAAGUGGAGUUGCAGUUACUGAAACCACUGGGGUUUUUCGGACUUAAGAGAAGUCCUGUGAACACAACCCAGUAACAUUUGUUAUCUAAGGGCCCGCCGUGUAUGGAGGCUGGAUUGGUCACCAUGGUUCCUCGGAGAGGAGACAGAUACACACACCGUCAGAGCCCUUUGAUAGCAGGUGAUGGGGCUGAAAUGGACAAAUAUACAAGGUCAGAGUAGCAACAGCAACAACAAAAUCAGCUGGUAAUUCGCUCCGUCUGGGGGACAUCCAGGUAUGUCCAUCAGGGAGGAGGCUUGAGUUGCUCUUUAAGGGUAAGAGAAGUUUGUCACAUCAUAAAGGCGUGAAGGGCUUUUCAGACAGAGGGAACAGCCCAAGAAAAUCUCUUCCCUCUUCUGUCUGUCCCCGUGUCAUUCAAGUAUCUUUAAGAGCCUCCACUUCUUCUCUGUCUAACUCUCUACUAUUUUUUGCUCAUAAUAGGUACUCAGUACUUGUAAAUGGAUAGAAGUGGGUGAUAGGAUGAUAGGCAGCGAUUUCAAUUUUAUUCAUGUUCUUUAUUUUUAUAAGUUUUCUGUAACAGAUAUACCUUUAUUUUAUAAUUAGAAUAUUCUCAAGUAUUCAGGGAAUGGUCUUCAGAGUCCACGGCUGCACUGGAGUUGAAUGUCGUCAAAGAGGUUCAUGAACUUUGGGCAAAAUGGGAGUCAUUGUUGACCUGGUGAGGCAAAGGCUUGAGACUGUGGGCGCAUCCCUGGCAGUGAAGCUGGGAUGAUAGGUUGGGGCUCAGAACUUUGGCCUUCAUGUUCUGGACCAUGAGGAACCGUUGACCUUAUCAGGCAGGAAGUCUGUGUUCAGAGUCCUCCAGCAACGCUGCAGAGCACGAACUGGCUGCAGGAGAGACCGGAGGGAAAGGACCAGCGGUGUCCCUUUAGAAUCCAGGUGGCUAUGUAUUGAAGGUUCUCUCUUUGGGUAGCGUUGGAGAGAAGACGAUGCAUUUGGUUGUGAUGGGAGGCGUUUGGAGUGUCUGUGGGAUGGUCUGUAGGAAGGCCAGCAAGUCUUGGAAACUGCCCAUGGGAAGGACUCCGUGUGUAAAACAAUGCUGGCCCUGGAGGCCUUGGAGAAUCGGGGAUGUGGAGGCUCCGGGAACCCCCUGGACUGUGCUCACAAAGGCAACAGAGAACAAAAGCAGAUGGUGCUGAAAAAUCACGAGGGGGCUAAAAGGAAGAGGAGGUUGAGAGGAGCAAGUAUCUGGUCAGGAAGCAGACUCAUUUCCUUUCUCCAGACAUUGCUCUUCCUCCUUGCCUUCAGGUUUGUGCUUAAAAGACAUCUCUGCAAGAUGCCUUCCCAGGCCCCCUGCCUAAAACAGCACCCUUCAUGCCACCUUCCCUCAGCGCGGUGUCAAAAUGCGAGUUUUAUUGUUAUCAUCCAGGCAUCAGGAGGAUUGCCGAUGAAGGUAUACGGCGAUUGCCUUUGGAACGUAGUUUGUCAGUCACAGCUCCCAGGAGGAGGGGACGUGCCUGCCAUGCAGGGCCACGUGGGGGAACCCCCAGGGCCAGUCAGGAGGCAGAGGGAGCGGGGCACACGGGCAAGGGCCUCAUGGCAAGGAACAGGGAAGGCAGGAUAAGCAGGCUUGGGAUGGGCUGGUUGGAAUACAAACCCUGCCGUCAUAGGCAUUUUGACGUGUACAGUUCAGUGGCAUCUAAUACAUUCACAGUGUUGUACAACCAGGGCCUUCAUCCACCCCCAGAACUCUUCAUCUUCCCAAACGGAAGCUCUGCGUUCAUCAAACACGAAUUCCCCAGUCCCUUGCCCCAGCCCUGGCCACCACCGUUCUGCUUUUGUGACUUAGCCUCAAGGUUCGUCCUUGUUGUAGUGUGUGUCAGCUGCAAAAAAGGUUUGGGAGGCAAGGGACAGGAUUUCCAAGACUGCCCAGGACCAGUAUUGAUCUGAUGCCUGUGUCUGGGCGUGGCGCCUUUUGCACAGGAUUGGAGUCCUGUCAGCAAGGAAGCCAGAAGCGACGUGGACGUUGUGAAGGUAACUGCCGUGUCUUCCACAGGGGUUUUGACUGUUGACUUCUUUCCAUAGAGACAGGGAUAUUGGCACCUUGGCGUAGUUAUACAUUUUUCCUCUUGGAAGAAGAGUGAGCGUUUUCUUCACUGUUCUGUGUGGCAUCUAGUGAGUUGGUUUUUAUGGGCUUAAAACCCUGAGCUACUGAGGGGAACCCUGUUUACUUCGUGGCGGGGUCUCCCCCUUUAGCCUCCAGGAGUGAUUCACACAGAAAGCAUUAGGAGCAUGGCCUGUUUUCUUCCUGAAUGACUUCGAAUUGGCUUGGUGUCUAACCCUUGCAACCGCUCGGCCUUCUGUCGUGCGUACUCACCUCAUCACGGAGGAGGCGGAUGCCUUUCCUGGGCUGGCGAGGCAGGGAGGCACAUCGUUAUGUCCUCACUGUACCGACACGCCGAAUAAGCACCUUGCUGUUUAUCGACUUGGAAACCUUCUGUCUUGGGUUUAAGAUCCAGUUGAACAGGAUGGAGAUGGCUGAGGAUCAUAAAAGAUUUCACUACAAAGAAAGAAGAUGAUACAGAUUCCAUGGUCUGGACGACCCAAGGUCGAACCCAUAUCCAGCUCCUCCCCAGAUAUUUGCACGUGGAAGAAAUAGAGUCACUAAAACUGGAAGGAAAGAAGAAAUGGACAGAACAUCCUGAAGAGUUGAGAUGCAGGAGCGGAGAGGGGACCCUGCCUGGGUGGUUGCAUUUUAUUUACUUAUUUAUUUCUUUUUCAGGGCCAUACCCACGGCAUAUGGAGCUUCCCAGGCUAGGGGUCCAACCGGAGCUGCAGCUGCCGGCCUGCACCACAGCCACUGCAACGUGGGAUCUCAGCCGCUUCUGGGACCUUCACCGCAGCUCACGGCAACGCUGGUUCCUUAACCCACGGAGUGAGGCCAGGGAUCGAACCCACAUCCUGAUGAAGACUCGUCAGGGUCGUUACUGCUGAGCCACGGCAGGAACUCCCUCCAUGUCUGCACUGAUUGCCACUUGCCUCUUCACCUCUCCUUUCUCUGCUUCCCCAAAUCACAGCGAUGCCGAGCCUCCACUCCUGGUCCCGUGACCGCCCUCUCUAGUAAGUUUGCGGGGGAGAGAGUCUUCCUUUUGUGCACAUAGAGCCCGGUAAGUUGUACCAUGUUUUACUGCAGGUCCUGAAUGGGUCCUAAAGAAGGAACUGAAUCGAGAACUUCUUACCUUCUCCUUUGAAAGAUGCCCCCAGAGGUGGAUGGUGUCUCCCUGUGAUCAGAGACUUGGCAGGGCUGAUUCUGACUGCGGUCAUCCUCGAUAAAUAUGUACUCGCAUGUGGCAGUUUUCUAGGCAGUGUACAGAGAAAGAGCCCUAGACCUAUCUUCUGGAUGCUUACAUUUCUAGAAGAAUAAAGUGUCAAAUAAUCGAUGGGAGUGACCAUUUUAGUUCUUGUUUGCAACGCACACACAUUCUUACUAUCUUCAAAAGGGAGACAGAUGUGUCUGCAGUGACAUCCUCCAAAGGCCUUGCUUCUCACUCACAGCCCUCAGCUUAAGAAAUGAACCCAUCCACAGAGUUCCCACUGUGGCUCAGCAUGUGAAGAACCCAACGUUGUCUCUCUGAGGAUAGUCCCGUCCCUGGCCUGGCUCAGUGGGUUAAGGAUCUGCCAUUCCCGCAAGCUGCUGGCGUAGGUCACAGAUGUGGCUCAGAUCCAGUGUUGCCAUGGCUGGGACCUAGGCCGGCAUCUGCAGCUCUGAUUCAACUCCUAGCCCGGGGACUUCCGUAUGCCACAGUCAUGGCUGUCAAGAGAAAACAGAAAAGAAAUCAGCCAUUCAAAAAUGUGUCUGUUUUGAUAUCUUAGGAACUCUCAGCUGUUAAAAGUAGAGACUCACUUUCCCUAAUGAAACUCUCUUUCAGAAUUUGUGUGGUGCUCUCUCUGUUGCUUCUGUAACUCAUAAUAAAAUAAUGCU